rnacentral:misc_RNA from 1 species
GGUAUGCUGUUUUACCCUUGUGUAUUUGUCUGUCUGUAACAAAUUUCUUUCACAUUUUCCUCAGGAACUAUUUAUACCAGAUGCUUGACAUUUUUACAUACUCUUUGUGUAGGAAUGCCAUACAUUGGGAUUCAUUUUUGUACCAAUCAGAUGUCAUCUUCUUGUUGAAUGAAAACUUUAUUUUUAUCCUUAAUCGUCUGACAAAUUUUUGUCAAAGAUUUUUCAGCAGCUAUUCAUCACAGAUGCUUGAAAUUUUAACACACUUCUUUGUUAAGGCAUGCCAUAUGGGGGCAUUUAUUUUCUAACAAAUUUGAUGUCAACUUUCUCUUAAAUUAUUUGGCAUAUUAUUCACAUCAGAGUGGCAGUAUCACUAGAGAGCAUUGCAUUGCAGGUAUCUUGUUAUUUGUGUUUACAAUAUGUACAUAUUUAAAUAGCUACACUAUGCAAUAAAUCAUCAGAAUC